CAACUACUCCCUCUGUCCCAAAUUUCUUGUCUUAGAUUUUUCUAGAUACAGAUGUAUCUAAUACUAAAAUGUGACUUGAUACAUCUGUAUCUAGAUAAAUCUAAGACAAGAAUUUUGGGACGGAGGGAGUAAUUU
rnacentral:pre_miRNA from 1 species